rnacentral:rRNA from 1 species
UACGUAGGGGGCCAGCGUUGCUCGGAAUUACUGGGCGUAAAGGGUCCGUAGGCGGUGCGGCAAGUCGGGAGUGAAAUCUCUGGGCUUAACCCAGAGGCUGCUUCCGAAACUGCCGCGCUAGAGUGUGAGAGAGGCGAGUGGAAUUGCGGGUGUAGCGGUGAAAUGCGUAGAUAUCCGCAGGAACAUCCGAGGCGAAGGCGGCUCGCUGGAUCACAACUGACGCUGAGGGACGAAAGCUAGGGGAGCAAACAGG